GCUAAUUAAGUGUUCCUCAGCACAUUGACUUUUCACGUCAAAAGAGCACAUCUAUGCACUUGGCU
rnacentral:tRNA from 1 species